rnacentral:rRNA from 1 species
ACGGGUGAGUAACACGUGGGUGAUCUGCCCUGCACUUUGGGAUAAGCCUGGGAAACUGGGUCUAAUACCGAAUACACCUUGCUGGCUGCAUGGCUGGUGGGGGAAAGCUUUUGCGGUGUGGGAUGGGCCCGCGGCCUAUCAGCUUGUUGGUGGGGCGAUGGCCUACCAAGGCUGCGACGGGUAGCCGGCCUGAGAGGGUGUCCGGCCACACUGGGACUGAGAUACGGCCCAGACUCCUACGGGAGGCAGCAGUGGGGAAUAUUGCACAAUGGGCGCAAGCCUGAUGCAGCGACGCCGCGUGGGGGAUGACGGCCUUCGGGUUGUAAACCUCUUUCAGCCAUGACGAAGCGCAAGUGACGGUAAUGGCAGAAGAAGCACCGGCCAACUACGUGCCAGCAGCCGCGGUAAUACGUAGGGUGCGAGCGUUGUCCGGAAUUACUGGGCGUAAAGAGCUCGUAGGUGGUUUGUCGCGUUGUUCGUGAAAUGCCACAGCUUAACUGUGGGCGUGCGGGCGAUACGGGCAGACUGGAGUACUGCAGGGGAGACUGGAAUUCCUGGUGUAGCGGUGGAAUGCGCAGA